rnacentral:rRNA from 1 species
UUAAGUCCCGCAACGAGCGCAACCCUUAUCCUUUGUUGCCAGCGGUCCGGCCGGGAACUCAAAGGAGACUGCCAGUGAUAAACUGGAGGAAGGUGGGGAUGACGUCAAGUCAUCAUGGCCCUUACGACCAGGGCUACACACGUGCUACAAUGGCGCAUACAAAGAGAAGCGACCUCGCGAGAGCAAGCGGACCUCAUAAAGUGCGUCGUAGUCCGGAUUGGAGUCUGCAACUCGACUCCAUGAAGUCGGAAUCGCUAGUAAUCGUGGAUCAGAAUGCCACGGUGAAUACGUUCCCGGGCCUUGUACACACCGCCCGUCACACCAUGGGAGUGGGUUGCAAAAGAAGUAGGUAGCUUAACCUUCGGGAGGGCGCUUACCACUUUGUGAUUCAUGACUGGGGUGAAGUCGUAACAAGGUAACCGUAGGGGAACCUGC